AUUGAAGCGGAGUUCAUUGCGCAACUUUGUCUUUUCCAAAGUAAACCAUAGGUGGGAUUUGAAUCCCUUGUGCAACAAACAGCAGACAAAUAAAUAAGCAAAUCCCGUGGUGUGGCAGCAAACAUCAGAGGAAUCAGAGCAGAAGAAGGACAAAGAAGCAGACUCAGCGUUAAAGUCAAGGCUCUACAGCAUGAAGACUGUGAUUUUGGCUCUUUUGAUAGUUCUGCUUUUCAGCCACAGUGAAGCCGUGCAGUGUGUCAGUGGUGG